AGUUUUUGUUCUCGAGUAAUAUUAGUUCUUUAUCCAUAUUUGUGUACCUUUCUAAUUUUUCUAGGCCUUGUGGUGGCACGAAGAGUCCAGCGGGCCACUUUGGAUACGCGUGAGGGUAAAGAAGGGAGGAAGGCCUCUUUUGGCAACUUAAUUUUUUUUAAAGGAAAAAACUAAUCUAAUUACCACUUGCUUUCUACGACCGGAAAAAAUGUAUGCAAUCACCACACUAUAAAGAGCGGGUUAUUUUAGCGAGCUCUUCUUCUCUAACAACUGUUCGAUUAAAUGUCGUGUUAUAUGAGUUUUCCGUCACUUAUAAUCUUAUAUGAUGUAAGAUAUAAGACUACUUCUAAACCAAAAUUCCUCCUAAACUCCAAAAAUAAAAAAUAAUAGAGUUACAAAUACCUCAGUUUUUGGUUCCUAGAUAAUCUUGCUUCCUUAGAACUGGUUCAUAUUUGCGUAUCAGAGUUCGACCUCAACCCGCUUGUAUAGCUUUUCUAAGUUUUUACGUCCAAUUCAUUAGCACCGUAACAUGCUUUGCACGAGAAUAGUAAAUAGAUUAAUUUAAAAAAGAAAAAUAUGGAUAUACCGCCGCUUGCCGCGGAUUGUUUGGAAAAAAAUAAUACAUAUCAAGAUGCAUGCAUGCAACUAAUAAAUAGAUUAAUUAGAAAAAGGAAAAUAUGGAUGCAUGCAUGCAACUAUAAUAAAUAAACUAAUUUAGAAAAAUAGAAUAAUACGAAGGCGC
rnacentral:lncRNA from 1 species